UACCGGAUAUGAACACUCCUCGCAUGGUGGGUGGUGGAAAGAAUUAUCGGUGGGGGAUGGACUCGCGGCCUAUCCGUUUGGUGGUGAGGGGAUGGCUCCCCCAGAAGAUGACGGGUAACCGGCCUGGAAGGGCGACCGGCCCCCCUGGGACUGGAACACGGCCCCGAAUCCUACGGGAGGGAGCAGUGGGGAAUAUUGGACCAUGGGCGAAAGCCUGGUGGAGCGACGCCGCGUGGGGGAUGAAGGGCUUCGGGUUGGAAACCCCUUUCCAGAAGGAAAAAACGAGAAUGACGGUACCCGCAAAAGAAACGCCGGCUAACUACGUGGCAGCAGCCGGGGUAAUACGUAGGGCGCAAGCGUUGUCCGGAUUAUUGGGCGUAAGAGCUGGAAGUGGCUUGUGCGUCUGCCGGAAAACCCGAGGCUCACCUCGGCGUGCGUGGGUACGGCAGGCUAAGUGUGGUAGGGAGACUGGAACUCCUGGUGUAGCGUGAAUGCGCAGAUAUCAGAAGACACCGAUGGCGAAGCAGUCUCUGGCCAUACUGACCUGAGAGCGAAGCAUGGUAGCGACAGAAUAGAACCUGGUAGUUCAUGCGUAACGUUGGCCUAGUGUGAGAAUUCACGUUGCGGCGUAGCUAACGCAUUAAGUGCC
rnacentral:rRNA from 1 species